UACGUAGGGUCCGAGCGUUGUCCGGAAUUACUGGGCGUAAAGAGCUCGUAGGUGGUUUGUCGCGUUGUCCGUGAAAACUCACAGCUUAACUGUGGGCUUGCGGUCGAUACGGGCAGGCUAGAGUUCGGUAGGGGAGACUGGAAUUCCUGGUGUAGCGGUGAAAUGCGCAGAUAUCAGGAGGAACACCGGUGGCGAAGGCGGGUCUCUGGGCCGAUACUGACGCUGAGGAGCGAAAGCGUGGGGAGCGAACAGG
rnacentral:rRNA from 1 species